rnacentral:misc_RNA from 1 species
AUGUGAAGGGCUGGGCGUGGUUGAAAAACAACGUUACACUUCUUUAACCCUCGACCUCGAUUAUUGAUAAAUAAAAAUUAUGAUUACAUUAAUCCCUUUCACGGCAUUACUGAGCCUUGCAGUUAGCUGGCCGUAUGCCACAUAACUUUGUUUACUGAUCGACCUUGCUCACCAAAAGUCUACUACAGCUCAUAGCGUCCAACCAGUGUGUGAGCCCGCGAGCAGGCUCCCAGGCGAUGCGGAACGAGCAAAGGCGUAGCCGCAAGAAACGGGUGCGCAGCUUGGCCUUUGCUUAUGCCGCACUGUACGAGAGCCUGCUUGCAGGCUACUAUCUGGAAGGUCAUGGGCCAGACUUCUUUUUUUGGCCACGAAAAAUUUUGAGCCUAAAAAGAGUAUUUACGGUGUAAUAGACAUUAGCCCGCCAGUAGGCUCUUGUGCUUUGGGCUGGAGACUCGAGCGGCGAAGCCACGAGAGAGACACCCGAGACGAGCCGGCGCGCGAAUCGUGUCGGCGAGUCUUUCUAAGCCUCCAUCCCUCAACUUUGUUUCGUUCCGCAACGCGCGACGUUCAUAAACGGCCUAGCGCGCCAAAGCGAAGUGCUUAAGUGCGAAACUCAAACACUGGAGCCUGUUCGCAGGUUAAAUAGACAAAUGAUAGGGUUACAAAGUUCUCCAUGGAGAGACUCCGCCCCGAGGCCCAACCCCAUACCCUUUAGUAUACCACUUUGACAGAAAAGGCAUUCCUUUCGUAUACCUUUUAUUAAAAAAAGGUACUUCUUUCACGUACCUUCUUAAGAAUACUGCAUCCCUUUUCUAAACCCUUGGAAUGAAGUUAAUGAGCGACACUUUGGGAGAACAUGAAACAUUACCACAAGAGAUGUCAACCGAAAAAGACGUUUCGGGCUCCUGGUUUCAUAUAUUCAAUUCCCGUUCACGUUCUACCGAAAGGACAGAUUUCCCUACCUUUCCAUAUGCCUCAACUUGUGAAAGCCUUACCCUUUUAUAUACCUGAAGCCUAAGAAAGAUACCCCUUUUUGGCUGAGCAUCCCCUUACAGGGCGUUGUAAAGAGUACCCCGGCCCGGGGCUUAAGCAGAAUGAUUUCUUUUGUGAAGAGAAGAAAAAAAAAAGAAAAUAAAUAAAAGAUUUGUGUCGCCCGUUCAAUCUCAACAACCAGCAUAGCAUGCAGGCGUGAUUGACGCAAAUCGGAAAUCUGCAUCAAUAAAGGAGACGAGGAGCCAUUCUUUUUUUAAAAAAAGAAAACAAACAAAAACGAAAGCAAACAAAUAGUAAAACUGAUGAACGAGGGAGAAAAAAAUGUUCCUUUGCAGCCUUUACUGCAAGAGACUGAGAAGAUGGUCAGCGGCCUUAUAAUUCAACACCGCAAAGACUUCUGGUAUAGAUCAUCCAAUAUGGCGGCUCGAUUUCUUGGUUGUGCGUGGUUGAUUGCAGUUCUCUUCCGUUUCAUUUGGGUUUGCCUGCCACAAACAGGCUAUAUUCACCCAGAUGAGUUUUUUCAGGCCACAGAAAUCACUGCCGGUGAUAUAUUUGGAUUUAAACACAUAAGGACAUGGGAAUUCAACGAGGCUUUUCCCGUGCGUGCUGUAACCUUCCCGUAUGUUUUCGCUGGAUUUCCAUUGUACACCUUGAAAAAGGUCCUUGGUGAAGGAGCUAUCACAUCAAGAACUCUCACUGUAGCUCCAAGACUUUUCAUUUCUGCUGCUUCGUUGAUCAUCGAUCUGUCAGUUUAUAAAAUUUGCCCUCACCUUCGUAUCGACCCAGCACCAUCGCUCUGUCUUCUUGGAACAUCUUUCGUCACGCUGGUUUUCUUCACACGUACUUUUUCCAAUACUGCUGAGGCCAUCUUAUUUGCCUUGCUAAUCCAGUUGGUAGUAUCUGCUAUAUCAAACGGCAACACAUUACGCACGAAAAAGGACCGUCUGCGGUACUUUUCAAUGGGUGUCAUUAUAGGUACAGGGAUUUGGAUCCGCCCAACCUUUGUGGCUUUUGCUAGUGUCCCCUUGGCUUUUUUGUUACUGGAUAUUUGUGCUCUGAAGUGGACAUCUGAUAAGAGGAGUAUAAAAUUCAUUACACAUAUUUUUAGAUACUGCACUUGUCUGGGAGUCGGUAGCAUUCUGACAAUGCUUGUUCUGAUCAUUGCAGACUCUCACUACUUUGGUUAUUUGCAGAAAAGACAAUUUGUUGUUACUCCAGUAAACUUCAUUUUGUACAACCUGGACACAACUUCACUGAAAGAACAUGGGCUCCAUCCGAGGAUGACUCACUUUUUAAUCAACAUGUCACUCUUGUAUGGGCCUUUGGCUGUAGCUUUAUAUGCUUUCAUUGUUCACGCUGUGAUAAAGAGGAAAUUUGUAGACUGUGCAAGAAUAUUGCUAAGCAGAGGAAAGGAAAAGGUCAACGGCAGCGAUGAUCACAAAGCAUAUCUUAUAUGGAAUAUGCUUCUGUGCAGUUGUUUAGUUCCUGUUGUAUUGUUGUCAUUUAUACCACAUCAAGAACCUAGGUUCAUUAGUCCAGUUCUCAUACCACUCAUCAUCCUUUUUUCUCAAAGCUUAUUUAGACCAUCUUUCACCCCCCUGAGACUGUUAUCCUGGUGUCUAUGGAACAUACUUGGAUGUGCCUUGUUUGGAAUACUGCAUCAGGGGGGUGUGUACCCUUGCUUAGCACAUCUUCAGCAGUACCUUUACAAUGCAAAGAGUCAAACCCUUAACACCACAUACCAUGUGACUUUUUAUCGCACCUAUAUGCCACCACAACAUCUUCUAGCAUGGCCCAUGCAUGGGCAUGACAAUGAAGGAGGAUUUCAUCACAACUUAGUAUUGUAUGACUUGAAAGGCAGCUCAGAAGAUGCAUUAAAGAAACAUUUGGAAAUGAUAUCAAGGCUGAGCAAUGAGGAGCUUGAAACCCAUGGAACAAAAAGUGAGGUAAGAAAUUGGCACAGAGUUUUUUUAAGGUCCUAAUGCAAGUUAAAUGAACUAAAUAUUGCCUUUCUUGGUUAAAAGUUACUAUUGAGGUCAUAGCUUUUGCAUUGUUAGGGAAACAGCUACACAAGUUUUAAUGGUGUCUACCCUUUUAAAUGUGUUAGAAUUUCACCAUAAUGAGCUAUUUGACAUUUGAGUACUUCUUGAAAGGAAAAAUUUUGGGUUGAAAUUCGUUUAAGUUGUCUUUAUUUACAUAAGGUUUCAAAAAGAUAUUUCACGGUACUCACAUGUUCACCGACUGGCUUGAGUUCGCUUCAGAUUUCUCGAGGUUUCUUUAAAAUGCAAUAUCUCACAUAACAAGAGAAACCAAGCAUUAAAGUUCCUCGAAAUUAGUAAAACAGGUUAUUUAGCGUUGACAGAGCAGAGGAAACCAAAACGAAAACUCACGUUUUCAGACAACGCGAAAUGAGCUUCACUCACGUCGGGCCCGAACGCAGAACAUCAACCUGUUUCCCGCCAGUCAUGCGCAGUGGGCCUUUUGGGUUUUCCCUGAUCUUAUGGGGUUCCCGUUGCCAUCCGUGUUGUCGUUGCUUAAAGUCCCUGUUGCCUGCUCAGAAACUUUUGGCAGGAAACAGUUUUAUUGUUAAAUACCAUGUGACCUCAAAGUAGCUGAUUAGAGCUUAUGUUGCUGGGGAAAAGUUCCAGCUCUAUUUAACAAUGCGAGCUGACAACCCUUACAUUAAAAAUACUGUAGUUGCAACCUUCUUUGGGACAAUUGUAGUUGCAAGAACUUUGAGACAGUUCGACGUAAAUGUUGCUCAUAAACCCGUCAAGACGGUUGGUUUGAUCCUGAAGAAACCGAAGGACAAAUUCGAUCAACACCUGUCAACUGGUGUUGUGUAUAAAAUCAAUUGUGAAAACUGUGAAAAACUUUAAAUCGGUCAAACAUCCAGAGCACUGAGAUCCAGAACAAAAGAACAUAAAAGAGCCAUCCUCACAUGUGACAAGAACUCUCUUUUGGCGCAACACUGUAUGAAAAACAACCACGAAUUUGAUUUUAACAAUGUCAAGGUCAUAGACUGCUGUCCCUUGUGGUCACGUAGAUUGUUCUUGGAAGUGUGGCAUUCCAUUCGCGAACCGAACUCAAUUAAUGACCACGCGCAUAUUCCAGACAUUUACAAAAUGCUAAAUUAAUCUCUAGCGAGUUCCUCACAUUCUUAUAAACAUCUCAUUUACAUUUAGACG